rnacentral:lncRNA from 1 species
UUUGCAACUACGUGUCCCAGACUGCAUCCCUGCUGAGAGUCCCUCCCUCCCUUCUCAUGUUGCAGGAAGAACGUAAGCGCCCGCCCCUUGUCAAUCAGUCACCAUAUAAUUUUGGAUUGGUUGUUGUGGUGAAGUUUUCCACCAAUAGGAGAGAUGUUGUGGUGUGUUUUUUUUUUCUUUUGGCAAGCCUUUUCCGCCUGUAAGACCUGUCGCUAAUGUCUGCAUGCUAUGUUUUCCUGUCUCAUACAGCGCGAUCGAGCGCCGAACGUGAUCAAAAUAAGCAGAAAACAAGUAUCGCGGACAUAAUUUAUCAUAACUCUGGUUUUAUUUGGCCUAUCAACACAAUUUAAAAACUGGUAUAUAGGUUGAGGUCCUCACUUUUGAGAUAAGUUGAAACGGAGAGUCAACGAGGCUCCGUCUUGCAGCUACAUCCGGUUAAAUAUUUCAUGUGACUUGAACGCACACAUAGACACACACACACGCACACACACACACACACACACACACACACACACACACACACACACACACACACACUCAGAGUCUGGUUUUUAGCACCUGCAAAAACAUGCUAUUUACAUAUUUGACAAGAAUGCAGAGGCUCCUUUUGCCCCUGAAAAAAAUCAAAUUUCAAACACAACUUGACUGGUCAUUUCUCCAAAAGACAACCAUGAAGCUCCAUCCAAACCUGAAGCAGGCAGUUGGUGCAUGUGUACAGUAACCUGAGGGGAGUGAGGUGAGUGCUUCUGAGGAGAACAUGAGCAGCGAAGAUUCACCUUGGAGCUAGAACAGAGACAUGCACAUGAUUAUACAGGGGCAGGGGCUCAAGUUUUUUCCAGUCGUCUAUACAAUAUGGAAAUUAAUGUGAAAUUAAAACACAAAGUAUUAAUAGAAAGGUAAUGACUGUCCUGUGUAGGUGACAGUGAUAUCCAAUAGGCUAGGCACUCACGAGGCUGGCUGUGGCAAGUGUAAGUGAAAGCAACACGCACUGGCAGGAAGAACAGCAAACACCGAUGAAGGAAAAGGGUCUUUGCAGUGAUGGGCGUUAACAGAGAGGGCGAUGGCCAGAGGACACAAAUGGGACGGGAAGGCAGCACGUUGGGGGGGGGGGGGGGACGCGACACGGCUCGGGCCCGCCAGUGCCCCAACGGGGUCCUAGUUAGGGCCCGAGCGUAGCUGCUAAGCAGCUGCGAGAGCCCUAUUAUUCCCCAAGGGGUUUUUCUUUGUUUCUUUUUAGGGCCCGAGCCAGCUGCAGAGCAGCCGGGCGUAGGCCCUGUUAUUCCUGUAGGGGUUUUUCUUUGUUUCUUUCUUUCUUCUUUUUCCUCCCCUUUGAACUGGAAAAUGGCCCACUUCCCACUGGCGAAAACUCAGGAAAUUUGGCAGGACGACCGGGCCUGGUGAAAAAUUUGAUAUUCCGAAGUCGCCCAAACAAGAAAAUGCAAAAUGGCUCCAUAGCGCCCCCUAAGGUGAAAAUUCACACUAUUGACUGUCACGCCUGUACGCUUUGUCAAAAUGACACAAAAAUUGACACACACAUGUAUCUCAAUAAGAUCUACAAAAAAGUCAGUGCGGGCGUAUCUGUCAAAUGUACGGUUAAAGGGUUAUUUCGCAUUUUUUGCCGAUCCGCACACAUUGGAAUUUCGCUAACUCCUCCGAAGGCUUUCGUUCCACCGGCACCACAUUUAUUCAGGCCAAUCUACACCCCGUGGCCAUUAAAAGUUAUCAAAAUCAUGACGCUGCACCCCACGGUUUAGGUUCUAGGGGGCGCCAAAGAUAACACUAAAAUCCACAUAUUUAAAAGUCUUAUAACUUUUUAUUUUUGUCCUCACUGGCCUCCAAGUUUUCUAGGAUGAUGCAAUGUCCAGCCAUCAACACAUUUGUGAAGGAAUUUUUACUCCCCAAAAGAGCGCCCCCCAUGGCAGGAGAAAAAACUCCAUUUUUUCUUGUCCCCUAAGGUGAAAAUACACAUUGUUGAGUGUCACGCCUAUACGCUUUGUCAAAAUGACACAAAAAUUGACACACACAUGUAACUCAAUAAGAUCUACAAAAAAGUCAGUGCGCGCGUAUCUGUCAAAUGUACAGUUAAAGGGUUAUUCCGCAUUUUUUGCCGAUACGCACACAUUGGAAUUUCGCUAACUCCUCCGAAGGCUUUCGUUCCACCGGCACCACAUUUGCUCAGGCCAAUCUACACCCCAUGGCCAUUAAAAGUUAUUCAAAUCAUGAUGCUGCACCCCAUGGUUUAGGUUCUAGGGGGCGCCAAAGAUAACCCAAAAAUCCACAUUCUUAAAUGUUUUAUAACUUUUUAUUUCUGUCCUCACUGGCCUCCAAGUUUUCUAGGAUGAUGCAAUGUCCAGCCAUCAACACAUUUGUGAAGGAAUUUUUACUCCCCAAAAGAGCGCCCCCCCAUGGUAGGAGAAAAAAGGCAAUUUUUUCUUGUCCCCUUACAUAAAAAUACACAUUGUUGAGUGUCACGCCUGAACGCUUUGUCAUAUUGACACAAAAUUUGACAAUCAUGUGUAUCUCAAUUAGAUCUACGAAAAAGUCAAAGAGCGCGUAUCUGUAUAAUGUACGGUUAAAGGGCUAUUUUGCAUUUUUUGCCGAUUCGCACACAUUGGAAUGUGGCUAUCUCCUCCUAAGGCUUUCGUCCCACCGAUACCAAAUUUGCUCAGGGCUAUCUACACCCCAUGCCCAUUCAAAGUUGUAAAAAUCAUGACGCUGCACCCCACGGUUUACGUUCUAGGGGGCGCCAAAGAUGACCCAAAAAUCCACAUUCUUAAAAGUCAUUUUGGCCACUGCAGGAGUACAGAGUACUGCAGUUCUAGGGGCGCCAAAGAUGACCCAAAAAUCCACAUUCUUAAAAGUCUUUUUGGCCACUGCAGGAGUACAGAGUACUGCAGGAUACACACACAUAUACACACACGCCAACAUACACACACACACACACACACACACACACACACAGACACACACACACACUCAGAGUCUGUUUUUUAGCACCUGCAAAAACAUGCUGUUUACAUAUUUGACAAGAAUGCAGAGGCUUCCUUUUGCCCCUGAAAAAAAUCAAAUUUCAAACACAACUUGACUGUUCAUUUCUCCAAAAGACAACCAUGAAGCUCCAUUUCAAACCUGAAGCAGAUAGUUGGUGCAUGUGUACAGUAACCUGAGGGGAGUGAGGUGACUAUUUCUGAGGAGAACAUGAGCAGUGAAGAUUCACCUUGGAGCUAGAACAGGGACGUGCACAUGAUUAUACAGGGGCAGGGGCUCAAGUUUUUUCCAGUCAUUUAUACAAUAUGGAAAUUAAUGUGAAAUUAAACCACAAAUAUGUGUGAUGAACUGUUUUUAAAACUUAAACUUCAAAUAAAAAUUGUAAACUUCAAAACAUAUGCAAAUUUUUAACAAAGAACAUAGUAAUUUACCUCUAUUUACAUCAAAAUGCAGGCAAUGGCCCAGGCGUUCUUUGUAAAAUUAUUUACAAAACACUGUAUAGUCUCACAAAUGUCACUUUUUAUUUAUGCCACUACAAAAAAACAUGAUGUAAAUGAUGCAUGAUGUAAAACAUGAUGUAAAAAACUUGUGUAGAUCCUCCUCUAUGUCAGUCCAUGUGUAAUUUUUCCAUAAUUCUUUGUUUUUUGCAGCAUUUUUGUUAGUGUAACUGCAGAUUGUGCUGACAGUGUCUAUGGCACAAAAAAAAAAAAAAAUUAAAAUGCCUCAACAUGAACCCCUGGUGGUCUCUGAGGGUGAAACCUGCUAACUGCUGCAGCUCUGUCAGCUUCAGUCUCCCAUGCAGAGCUCUGAGCGCAUGUGUGGCUCUGCACCCUUAGCAGCGUUGCUAACUCCUCAGUAUGGAAAGCCUGCUUCAUGUCAGAGUCUCUAAACUCCAGAAGAAGUCGAUAAAAGUCACUUUCUUUCUAAAAAAAAGUCGUUAGGGUGUCUGAAAAGUCAUUGAAUCUAACAACAAAGUCGCUAGGUUUGCAACUACGUGUCCCAGACUGCAUCCCUGCUGAGAGUCCCUCCCUCCCUUCUCAUGUUGCAGGAAGAACGUAAGCGCCCGCCCCUUGUCAAUCAGUCACCAUAUAAUUUUGGAUUGGUUGUUGUGGUGAAGUUUUCCACCAAUAGGAGAGAUGUUGUGGUGUGUUUUUUUUUUCUUUUGGCAAGCCUUUUCCGCCUGUAAGACCUGUCGCUAAUGUCUGCAUGCUAUGUUUUCCUGUCUCAUACAGCGCGAUCGAGCGCCGAACGUGAUCAAAAUAAGCAGAAAAAAAGUAUCGCGGACAUAAUUUAUCAUAACUCUGGUUUUAUUUGGCCUAUCAACACAAUUUAAAAACUGGUAUAUAGGUUGAGGUCCUCACUUUUGAGAUAAGUUGAAACGGAGAGUCAACGAGGCUCCGUCUUGCAGCUACAUCCGGUUAAAUAUGUCAUGUGACUUGAACGCACACAUAGACACACACACACGCACACACACACACACACACACACACACACACACACACACACACACACACUCAGAGUCUGGUUUUUAGCACCUGCAAAAACAUGCUAUUUACAUAUUUGACAAGAAUGCAGAGGCUCCUUUUGCCCCUGAAAAAAAUCAAAUUUCAAACACAACUUGACUGGUCAUUUCUCCAAAAGACAACCAUGAAGCUCCAUCCAAACCUGAAGCAGGCAGUUGGUGCAUGUGUACAGUAACCUGAGGGGAGUGAGGUGAGUGCUUCUGAGGAGAACAUGAGCAGUGAAGAUUCACCUUGGAGCUAGAACAGAGACAUGCACAUGAUUAUACAGGGGCAGGGGCUCAAGUUUUUUCCAGUCGUUUAUACAAUAUGGAAAUUAAUGUGAAAUUAAAACACAAAGUAUUAAUAGAAAGGUAAUGACUGUCCUGUGUAGGUGACAGUGAUAUCCAAUAGGCUAGGCACUCACGAGGCUGGCUGUGGCAAGUGUAAGUGAAAGCAACACGCACUGGCAGGAAGAACAGCAAACGCCGAUGAAGGAAAAGGGUCUUUGCAGUGAUGGGCGUUAACAGAGAGGGCGAUGGCCAGAGGACACAAAUGGGGCGGGGAGGCAGCACGUUGGGGGGGGGGGGGGGGAGACGCGACACGGCUCGGGCCCGCCAGUGCCCCAACGGGGUCCUAGUAUUAUUAUUUUUCCUCCGCUUUAAACUGGAAAAUGGCCCACUUCCCACUGGCGAAAACUCAGGAAAUUUGGCAGGACGACCGGGCCUGGUGAAAAAUUCGAUAUUCUGAAGUCGCCCAAACAAUAAAAUGCAAAAUGGCUCCAUAGCGCCCCCUAAGGUGAAAAUUCACACUAUUGACUGUCACGCCUGUACGCUUUGUCAUAUUGACACAAAAAUUGACACACACAUGUAUCUCAAUAAGAUCUAAAAAAAAGUCAGUGCGGGCGUAUCUGUCAAAUGUACGGUUAAAGGGUUAUUGCGCAUUUUUUGCCGAUCCGCACACAUUGGAAUUUCGCUAACUCCUCCGAAGGCUUUCGUUCCACCGGCACCACAUUUGCUCAGGCCAAUCUACACUCCAUGGCCAUUCAAAGUUGUACAAAUCAUGACGCUGCACCCCACGGUUUAGGUUCUAGGGGGCGCCAAAAAUAACCCUAAAAUCCACAUUCUUAAAAGUUUUAUAACUUUUUUUUUUUGUCCUCACUGCCCUCCAAGUUUUCUAGGAUGAUGCAAUGUCCAGCCAUCAACACAUUUGUGAAGGAAUUUUUACUCCCCAAAAGAGCGCCCCCCCAUGGCAGGAGAAAAAAGUCCAUUUUUUCUUGUUUCUUUUUCCUCCCCUUUGAACUGGAAAAUGGCCCACUUCCCACUGGCGAAAACUCAUGAAAUUUGGCAGGACGACCGGGCCUGGUGAAAAAUUUGAUAUUCCGAAGUCGCUCAAACAAGAAAAUGCAAAAUGGCUCCAUAGCGCCCCCUAAGGUGAAAAUUCACACUAUUGAGUGUCACGCCUGUACGCUUUGUCAAAAUGACACAAAAUUUGACACACACAUGUAUCUCAAUAAGAUCUACAAAAAAGUCAGUGCGGGCGUAUCUGUCAAAUGUACGGUUAAAGGGUUAUUUCGCAUUUUUUCCCGAUCCGCACACAUUGGAAUUUCGCUAACUCCUCCGAAGGCUUUCGUUCCACCGGCACCACAUUUGCUCAGGCCAAUCUACACCCCA